ensembl:lncRNA
AUCUGUGGUUGGCAAGUCUGGUCGCAUCUCUGGCUGCUGUUGACCUUGUUUUUGGAGUAAAACACGUUUAUAUGUUGCCGGUCUCUUUGUUUAUUCGAGCCUUGUCAACUUUAAAGAGGCCGUAACAACCUGCACAUGAGGAAAAUCACUCCUGUAGAAUGCAGAUGUUCAGAGGGAGAUGAUGCCACAUCUGGUCCAGCUGAUGGAAGGUCUUGAAGUUCUCUGACUGGCCUCGACUGAAGAUGGUCGUCUCACUGGAUUUAAGCUGCACAAUGAGGGACGUCUGCAGAGACUGAGAAAGAGUCUCACCACAUCCUGACAUGAGGAAAAAGACUUUAUUGAAGACUACAAUGAGAAAAACUAUCAGACAGCAGACGGCUGCAUUUAAGGUGAGAUCUGAACAUUUGAUCUGGAACAGGAAUUCAAUAACUGCAGCAUGAGCUUCAUUUCAGUCUGUAGCUACUGAAUUCAUGGAUGAAUAAUCUGGCACUAGAGAAGAAGACCAUCAAACAUCCACGUCAGCUGAUGGAGGUCCAAGAGUCUCACCGAACAGCCAACCUACAGAGUGAAGACCUCGAAUCUGAUUGGACGGCCUCCUAUUCAGCCACAUGUGUGAACAAAUGCCUCUAAGCUGAUUUGUUUUCUAAAAUAAAUCUAGUUUGAGUCCUAAUCUAUGCCUGUGUGUUUGCUUCUUUACACCACUGUUAACAGUUUAGGCUGUUAGAUUGUUCCAGAUAAGACAAGUACAAGAUUCUUCAGAGCUGUUCUACCACGAGCCUGACAGGAAGAACGCCAACAGCUACUGAAUGUUCCUGUGGUUCCCUCAAGGCUACAGGAGGAGCCGUACGAGGACGAGCUGGUCCACCUGAUGGUGGCCAGUCGCUGUGGUUCAAAGCCAACACCGACUACGUGGACUUCUACUGGACCACAUGGAGGCCUUCAAACCGGACCAACAAGUUCACCGACUCCCCGACUCGUGGGUCUGAGGAUGCCGCCGAGCCUCGGUCCAGCCGGCCUCCUGUCUGUGGGUGUUUGAGUGCUGAGAGGUUUGUGGAUCCACGUGAACGUGUCUGUGUUGAAACAGCAGCUUUGGACUCAGUAACGCCAGGAAAAACCAAGAGCUCCUUUAUUUGUGACUUCCACUAAAAAAACUGAUGAAAAUAAGUUUGCCAGGGUUCUGACCGAUAACAGAUUAUUAAAUACUGAAAAUAAUUGUUUAAAUAUUCCUUUAAACAAUCCUUUUAGGUCUACAUUUCCUUUACACUGACUUCUUGGUAUAUGUACAAGUAUUUUGGGUGGAAUAUACCAUUAAGCCCGAUGUUCAAGGGUUCUUCUGGGAAUAUACC